rnacentral:rRNA from 1 species
AUUGAACGCUGGCGGCAUGAUUUACACAUGCAAGUCGAACGGUAACAGGCCGCAAGGUGCUGACGAGUGGCGCACGGGUGAGUAAUGCAUCGGAACGUGCCCAGUCGUGGGGGAUAACUACUCGAAAGAGUAGCUAAUACCGCAUACGAUCUAUGGAUGAAAGCGGGGGACCGUAAGGCCUCGCGCGAUUGGAGCGGCCGAUGUCAGAUUAGGUAGUUGGUGGGGUAAAGGCUCACCAAGCCAACGAUCUGUAGCUGGUCUGAGAGGACGACCAGCCACACGGGGACUGAGACACGGCCCAGACUCCUACGGGAGGCAGCAGUGGGGAAUUUUGGACAAUGGGCGCAAGCCUGAUCCAGCAAUGCCGCGUGCAGGAAGAAGGCCUUCGGGUUGUAAACUGCUUUUGUACGGAACGAAACGGCUCUGGUUAAUACCCGGGGCUAAUGACGGUACCGUAAGAAUAAGCACCGGCUAACUACGUG